GAUGAACGCUGGCGGCGUGCUUAACACAUGCAAGUCGAACGGGAAACCUUUUAUUGAAGCUUCGGCAGAUUUAGCUGGUUUCUAGUGGCGGACGGGUGAGUAACGCGUGGGUAACCUGCCCUAUACAGGGGGAUAACAACCAGAAAUGGUUGCUAAUACCGCAUAAGCGCACAGGACCGCAUGGUCCGGUGUGAAAAACUCCGGUGGUAUAGGAUGGACCCGCGUUGGAUUAGCCAGUUGGCAGGGUAACGGCCUACCAAAGCGACGAUCCAUAGCCGGCCUGAGAGGGUGAACGGCCACAUUGGGACUGAGACACGGCCCAGACUCCUACGGGAGGCAGCAGUGGGGAAUAUUGCACAAUGGGGGAAACCCUGAUGCAGCGACGCCGCGUGAAGGAAGAAGUAUCUCGGUAUGUAAACUUCUAUCAGC
rnacentral:rRNA from 1 species